ACGCUGGCGGCAGGCCUAACACAUGCAAGUCGAGCGGUAGCACAGGAGAGCUUGCUCUCUGGGUGACGAGCGGCGGACGGGUGAGUAAUGUCUGGGAAACUGCCUGAUGGAGGGGGAUAACUACUGGAAACGGUAGCUAAUACCGCAUGACCUCGCAAGAGCAAAGUGGGGGACCUUCGGGCCUCACGCCAUCGGAUGUGCCCAGAUGGGAUUAGCUAGUAGGUGGGGUAAUGGCUCACCUAGGCGACGAUCCCUAGCUGGUCUGAGAGGAUGACCAGCCACACUGGAACUGAGACACGGUCCAGACUCCUACGGGAGGCAGCAGUGGGGAAUAUUGCACAAUGGGCGCAAGCCUGAUGCAGCCAUGCCGCGUGUGUGAAGAAGGCCUUAGGGUUGUAAAGCACUUUCAGCGAGGAGGAAGGCGUUGUAGUUAAUAGCUGCAACGAUUGACGUUACUCGCAGAAGAAGCACCGGCUAACUCCGUGCCAGCAGCCGCGGUAAUACGGAGGGUGCAAGCGUUAAUCGGAAUUACUGGGCGUAAAGCGCACGCAGGCGGUUUGUUAAGUCAGAUGUGAAAUCCCCGAGCUUAACUUGGGAACUGCAUUUGAAACUGGCAAGCUAGAGUCUUGUAGAGGGGGG
rnacentral:rRNA from 1 species